GGAAUUGAAGACUUACCUAUUUUCCUUAUCAAGACCAAUAAAAUAAACUGAAAUAAAAAUAAACUGCAAAAGAAGAAAACUGAAAACGAGAUAAACUGAAACGAGAUAAAACUGAAACGAGAUAAAACUGAAAACGAGAUAAACUGAAAUGAGAUAAAACUGAAAUGAGAUAAAACUGAAAGAGAAAUAAACGGAAAGCAAAAUAAACUAAAACGAGAUAAAACUGAAACCAACUAAACUGUAAGUAAAAUGGGG
rnacentral:lncRNA from 1 species